UACGGGGGGAGCAAGCGUUGUUCGGAUUUACUGGGCGUAAAGGGCGCGUAGGCGGCGUGACAAGUCACUUGUGAAAUCUCCGGGCUUAACUCGGAACGGUCAAGUGAUACUGUCGUGCUAGAGUACAGAAGGGGCAACUGGAAUUCUCGGUGUAGCGGUGAAAUGCGCAGAUAUCAGGAGGAACACCGGUGGCGAAGGCGGGUCUCUGGGCCGAUACUGACGCUGAGGAGCGAAAGCGUGGGGAGCGAACAGG
rnacentral:rRNA from 1 species